AACGAACGCUGGCGGCAUGCCUAACACAUGCAAGUCGAACGAGACCUUCGGGUCUAGUGGCGCACGGGUGCGUAACGCGUGGGAACCUGCCCUUAGGUUCGGAAUAACUCCCCGAAAGGGGUGCUAAUACCGGAUAAUGUCUUCGGACCAAAGAUUUAUCGCCUUUGGAUGGGCCCGCGUUGGAUUAGCUAGUUGGUAGGGUAAAAGCCUACCAAGGCGACGAUCCACAGCUGGUCUGUGAGGAUGAUCAGCCACACUGGGACUGAGACACGGCCCAGACUCCUACGGGAGGCAGCAGUGGGGAAUAUUGGACAAUGGGCGAAAGCCUGAUCCAGCAAUGCCGCGUGAGUGAUGAAGGCCUUAGGGUUGUAAAGCUCUUUUACCCGGGAUGAUAAUGACAGUACCGGGAGAAUAAGCUCCGGCUAACUCCGUG
rnacentral:rRNA from 1 species